rnacentral:lncRNA from 1 species
UUUUUUUAUUUGUCUUUCUCCUCACUCUCUUCUCAUCUCUUUCUCUCUUCUUGUUUCAUUGCACCAAGCCACCAACAACAGAACACCAUGUCACUGUCUGAAAGCUAUCACCUUUUCAAUAACCAUUUCUUAAUUCUUUCUUAUUCUAAUAUUCUGAUACCUCACCCUUUUGCUUAUUUUCAAUGAGAUUCCUCUGCUUCAACUCUCAAUACAAAUAUCAUCAUCAUCUGCUUUUUCCAUGUCAGGUAUGUAUGUCAUCAUCAUCUGCUUUUUCCUGUUCUAUGUUCAUCCCUGUCUUAUGUUCCAAAGGGAAGAAGAAACUACUAUAAUUUUGUAAGUUUUCUCAGGUUUCCCUUUUUAAUCGGAGUUCUUUGCAUUUGGAAUUGUGUGAAUGAUUCAUAAUGUUGACUAUCUUAUACAUUUUUUUCUUCUAAAUAACUUUCUGCUUGUUACUCUGAGCUAUAACAUCGUUAUAAUUUCGAGAUGACUAGCGUAUAAAUGAUGUGGCAUGUUACUAUUCUAUGUCAAAUACCAAUUAGGCAUAUUAUCCAACAUAAUUUUGUAACCAUGUUAUAGCUGAUUGUAACGAAGAGACACUCAUGUAAAAACUUCUCUAAUGACUUGUUUGAAAGGAAAAAGUGCUGAUACCAAAAUAAAAAUCAGUGCAAAGUUGCAAACUAUAGAGAUUAGAGACCAAAAUGUUACUUUAAUCUAAAACAGUAAAACACAUUUAGUUGCUUUCUUGGAUUAUAGCAUGCGACUUAUUAAACUCAGCAACUAGAAAUAUAUUCAAUUUGUGAAAUGAAUUUGAGUUUUUAAAUACAUGAUAAUAUAUUAUCAGAUUUAUGGUAGUAUGCACCUAAUUUUACCCAUCUUAGGAUUCUGAGAUUUCGGAUGGAGAAAUUAAUUAGUAAUAGUUCAUUUCCUUUUGUUACUUUAUUUAUUGGGUCUGUGAUUUACAGUUUGCUGAGAUGACCCUAGUUUCCAGCUCUUCAUAUAAGUCAAAUAGUCACGUCUGUGUUCUUCUCGUGUUGUUUGUGUUACUCAAAUGUUAUCACAUUACUGAUUAAAAUAUCUGUCAAUCUUGUAUUGACAGAGAUGUGAAGCCUUUACAAUAGUAAGUUCAUAUUCAGAUGAAGUGCUUGAUAUCAUACAAU